UAAACUAAAGCUUUUAAGAAGCAUUAAACUUUUAAUUUAAUGAACUUGUAUGAUGCGCAAGUAGUUUUU
rnacentral:tRNA from 1 species